CUUGCUUCUCUGAUGUUAGCGGCGGACGGGUGANUAACACGUGGAUAACCUACCUAUAAGACUGGGAUAACUUCGGGAAACCGGAGCUAAUACCGGAUAAUAUUUUGAACCGCAUGGUUCAAAAGUGAAAGACGGUCUUGCUGUCACUUAUAGAUGGAUCCGCGCUGCAUUAGCUAGUUGGUAAGGUAACGGCUUACCAAGGCAACGAUGCAUAGCCGACCUGAGAGGGUGAUCGGCCACACUGGAACUGAGACACGGUCCAGACUCCUACGGGAGGCAGCAGUAGGGAAUCUUCCGCAAUGGGCGAAAGCCUGACGGAGCAACGCCGCGUGAGUGAUGAAGGUCUUCGGAUCGUAAAACUCUGUUAUUAGGGAAGAACAUAUGUGUAAGUAACUGUGCACAUCUUGACGGUACCUAAUCAGAAAGCCACGGCUAACUACGUGCCAGCAGCCGCGGUAAUACGUANGUGGCAAGCGUUAUCCGGAAUUAUUGNGCGUAAAGCGCGCGUANGCGGUUUUUUAAGUCUGAUGUGAAAGCCCACGGCUCAACCGUGGAGGGUCAUUGGAAACUGGAAAACUUGAGUGCAGAAGAGGAAAGUGGNAUUCCAUGUGUAGCGGUGAAAUGCGCAGANAUAUGGNNGAACACCAGNGGNNNANGGCGACUUUCUGGNCUGUAACUG
rnacentral:rRNA from 1 species